CCUACGGGAGGCUGCAGUGGGGAAUCUUGCGCAAUGGGCGGAAGCCUGACGCAGCGACGCCGCGUGCGGGACGAAGGCCUUCGGGUCGUAAACCGCUUUCAGCAGGGACGAGACACUCACGGUGACGGUACCUGCAGACGAAGCCCCAGCUAACUACGUGCCCGCCGCCGCGGUAAUACGUGGGGGGCGAGCGGUAUCCGGCUUCAUUGGGGGAAAGGCGCGCGUAGGCGGCGUGUUAGGUGGGGGGUCAAGUACCGGGGCUCACCCCCGGUCCGCCCCCGAUACCGGCAGGCUUGAGUCUGGUAGGGGAAGGUGGAAUUCCCAGUGUAGCGGGGGAAUGCGCAGAUAUUGGGAAGAACACCGGCGGCGAAGGCGGCUUGCUGGGCUACGACUGACGCUGAGGCGCGAAAGCGAGGGGAGCGAACAGGAUUAGAUACCCCUGUAGUC
rnacentral:rRNA from 1 species